rnacentral:tRNA from 1 species
GUGAAUGUGGCUUAGUGGUAGAGUGCUUGCCUUGCAUGCAUGAAGCCCUGGGUUCAAUUCCUCAGUACCUAUA